rnacentral:tRNA from 1 species
AAUUAAUAAGCUUUAAUGAAGCAUAUGUUUUGAAAGCAUAAGAAAAGGAAUCAACCCCUUAUUAAUUU